UGGGGAAUAUUGGACAAUGGGCGAAAGCCUGAUCCAGCCAUGCCGCGUGUGUGAAGAAGGUCUUCGGAUUGUAAAGUACUUUAAGUUGGGAGGAAGGGCAGUAAGCGAAUAUCUUGCUGUUUUGACGUUACCGACAGAAUAAGCACCGGCUAACUCUGUGCCAGCAGCCGCGGUAAUACAGAGGGUGCAAGCGUUAAUCGGAAUUACUGGGCGUAAAGCGAGCGUAGGUGGUUCGUUAAGUAGAAUGUGAAAGCCCCGGGCUCAACCUAGGAGCUGCAUCCAAAACUGGCGAGCUAGAGAAGGGCAGAGGGGGGUGGAAUUUCCUGUGUAGCGGUGAAAUGCGUAGAUAUAGGAAGGAACACCAGUGGCGGAGGCGACCACCUGGGCUCAUACUGACACUGAGGUGCGAAAGCGUGGGGAGCAAACAGG
rnacentral:rRNA from 1 species